UACGUAGGGUGCGAGCGUUGUCCGGAAUUAUUGGGCGUAAAGAGCUCGUAGGCGGUUUGUCGCGUCGGCCGUGAAAACUUGGGGCUUAACUCCAAGCUUGCGGUCGAUACGGGCAGACUUGAGUUCGGCAGGGGAGACUGGAAUUCCUGGUGUAGCGGUGAAAUGCGCAGAUAUCAGGAGGAACACCAGUGGCGAAGGCGAGUCUCUGGGAUGAUGCUGACGCUGAGGCGCGAAAGCCAGGGGAGCAAACGGG
rnacentral:rRNA from 1 species